rnacentral:rRNA from 1 species
AUGGUGGGCUUCUUGUUGUAGCGGGCGAGCUUGGCGGCCUCGGCGGCGAGCUUCUCGAAGAUGUCGUUGAUGAAGGAGUUCAUGAUGGACAUGGCCUUGGAGGAGAUGCCGAUGUCGGGGUGCACCUGCUUCAGCACCUUGAAGAUGUAG